GCCCGGGUGGCGGAAUUGGCAGACGCACUAGGUUCAGGUCCUAGCGCCCUCAAAAGCGUGCAGGUUCGAGUCCUGUCCCGGGCACCA
rnacentral:tRNA from 1 species